CAGAAUUAGUUUUGCACGCAAAGAAGCAGCUACAAACAACGCUACGGUGCAGGUCUUUCGGUUAUUUCUUGUCACGCUUCAGCCUUGGAAAUAUUUGUUUUUUCACAACAUAAACGUUUUCAAUAUAUUCAUUCAAG